GUGCUUUCUUUGGCAGCACAUAUACUAAAAUGAAAAGGACAUAGAGAAUAUUAGCAUGACCCAGAGCCACAGCAAGGAUGACGUGCAAAUUCAAGAAACAUUCCCUGUUUUG